GCAACUAUCGAGAAAUUAUAUGAGACACUUGAAAUGCUCGAGAAAAAGGAGAAAGUUCUCCUUAAGAAGUCUGAUGUUGAGAUCGAAAAGGCUAAACAAUUCACCAAAACUAAAAACAAAAGAGACUCGAGUUUACUUGAUACUAGAAUAUGCAGCUAAAGGUGAACUCUACAAGGAACUACAGAAGUCCAAAUGCUUCAGUGAGAGGCGAACUGCUACAGUGAGUCCA